GUGAAUCAUCAAAUCUUUGAACGCAAAUUGCAAUCUCCUCGGAGAGUAUGCCUGUUUGAGGGUCAGCUUAUAAAAAAUAGAGAUCGUUGAUGUCUCGCGGUGGCGUUUGUGGGAAAUUGGGUCAUCUUAUAUCUUUUGGUUGUAAGUGACUUAAAAUUUUCCUUUUGGUACCAGGAAGGUCACUAAGAUGUAUUUGUUUACACGAUCAAGGUAUUGAUCUUUAUUAGACGUGACAAUCAUAUCGGAUAGCGCCCAUAAGCUUGCAUUAACUGAC
rnacentral:misc_RNA from 1 species